GACACUUACUUUAUCAAGUCUCCUAUCACUGAUUCAAGAACAAUUAAUGCAACAAUGGAUGGGAAUAAAUGUUGUGAUAUUAUAUAAAAUUC